rnacentral:rRNA from 1 species
AGUGAACGCUAGCGGUGUGCUUAACACAUGCAAGUCGAGCGAGGGCAGGUCUUCGGAUCUGACCCGAGCGGCGUACGGGUGCGUAACACGUGGGUAAUCUACCUUAGAGCGGGGGAUAACGCGCCGAAAGGCACGCUAAUACCGCAUAACAUCCCGUUAACGACGGUUAAUGGGAUCAAAGACGGGGAUCCGCAAGGACCUGUCCCUCUAAGAUGAGCCCGCGGCCCAUCAGCUUGUUGGCGGGGUAAUGGCCCACCAAGGCAACGACGGGUAGCCGGCCUGAGAGGGUGAUCGGCCACACUGGAACUGAGACACGGUCCAGACUCCUACGGGUGGCAG